rnacentral:rRNA from 1 species
ACGGCUGAGUAACGCGUGGGUGACGUACCUGUUGGUGGGGAAUAACUGCCCGAAAGGGUGGCUAAUUCCGCAUAAGUCCUUCGGCUCAGUCCGAAGGGGAAAGCUUCGCAAGAGGCGCCGAUGGAGCGGCCCGCGUCCGAUUAGCUCGUUGGUGGGGUAACGGCCUACCAAGGCGACGAUCGGUAGCUGGUCUUAGAGGAUGAUCAGCCAGACUGGGACUGAGACACGGCCCAG